rnacentral:rRNA from 1 species
GGAAUAUUGGUCAAUGGGCGAGAGCCUGAACCAGCCAAGCCGCGUGCAGGAAGACAGCCCUAUGGGUUGUAAACUGCUUUUGUACGAGGGUAAAAAGAGGCACGUGUGCCUUCUUGCAAGUAUCGUACGAAUAAGGAUCGGCUAACUCCGUGCCAGCAGCCGCGGUAAUACGGAGGAUUCGAGCGUUAUCCGGAUUUAUUGGGUUUAAAGGGUGCGUAGGUGGUUUAUUAAGUCAGCGGUGAAAAGGAGAUGCUUAACAUUUCCCGUGCCGUUGAAACUGAUAGACUUGAGUAAUGUUGAAGUAUGCGGAAUGCGCAGUGUAGCGGUGAAAUGCAUAGAUAUUGCGCAGAAGGCCGAUUGCGAAGGCAGCAUACUAAACAUAUACUGACGCUGAGGCACGAAAGCGUGGGGAUCAAACAGGAUUAGAUACCCUGGUAGUCCACGCUGUAAACGAUGAUAACUCGCUGUCGGCGAUAUGACAGUCGGUGGCCAAGCGAAAGCGAUAAGUUAUCCACCUGGGGAGUACGACCGCAAGGUUGAAACUCAAAGGAAUUGACGGGGGCCCGCACAAGCGGAGGAACAUGUGGUUUAAUUCGAUGAUACGCGAGGAACCUUACCCGGGCUUGAACGGCAGAGGAAUAUUUGGGAAACUAAAUAGCCAGCAAUGGUCUUUGUCGAGGUGCUGCAUGGUUGUCGUCAGCUCGUGCCGUGAGGUGUCGGCUUAAGUGCCAUAACGAGCGCAACCCUUGUUGAUAGUUGCCAGCGGGUAAAGCCGGGGACUCUAUUGAGACUGCCACCGUAAGGUGCGAGGAAGGGGGGGAUGACGUCAAAUCAGCACGGCCCUUACGUCCGGGGCGACACACGUGUUACAAUGGUAGGAACAGAGGGCAGCUAUUAUGUGAAUAAAUGCGAAUCUCAAAACCCUAUCACAGUUCGGAUCGGAGUCUGCAACUCGACUCCGUGAAGCUGGAUUCGCUAGUAAUCGCGCAUCA